CCCCCGCCCCCCGGCCCGGCUCGCCCCGCCCCCUGGCCACGUGACCUCACCUGCCGUCCCCCUAGGCCUCCGGAAAAGUUUGCGCGCAGCGGGGCGGGGCGGAGCGGGGCGGGGCGCCUUCCGCAGAGGUCCCCUCCCCCAGCCUGCGCUCGGGGACGGCCCGCGCCCCCGGGGUCGCGCCUCCCCCAGCGGGUGACAAUCCGCUCCUGCUCUGUCACCCUGCCCGGAGGGGGCCCUUGCCCGCACUAGCCUCCAAGCCGCCGCGUUCCCUGGAGGCCUGCGCCCGCAAGGUCCUCCCACACGCAGUCUGGCCCCCUCCAGGACAGAGCAUUACCCCCCACCCGCUCACCACACCGUGCGCGGAUCUGGUCUCCCCUUUCCCUCCUCCCCGCCUGGCUCAGGAGCACCCACAACCUUAAGGAGCCAUGCCUGGCAUAGGGUGGGAGGCAGAGGCUGCUGUUGGGGCUCAGCCCUCGACUGACAGAACCCAGACACAAGUUACCGAAGCUCUGAGACAGGUCCAGGCCCACAGAGGACCCCCGGCCUUGCCUUUCCCGGCCUCCACCCUGGGGAGCCCUCCUUUUCCUUCAUCUGGGCCCUGCAGCCAGGGAAAGAAGGCCAAGCACAGCCCUGGGAAGCACCGGCCCCCUAUCUUCCAGCCCCUGGUGCGCUCAUUAACAAAGGACACGGGAAAAGUAGAGAACAGAACGUCCACCAAAAGGAAAAGGCUGUGGCUGACCCUCCAACUUUCCAGGCUCAAGAUUUCAGCUCGUCUUUGCGGCCCGGGAGCUCGCUGUCCAGGAACCACCAAGGAGGGUGUGAGAGGGAAGGGGCGUCGGCUGCCCUGGGUCCAGGCAAGAGGCCAGCUCUGGGAGGCCCGGGACCACCUCGGGCAGCACUUCUGCUCGUCGAUGGGCUCCCUUCAGAGCGAGAGGUGGACCCCCGGGGCGCCAGGACCACGGUCGUCCACGCAGCCAGCCCAGGCCUGUGUCGGAGUCUGUAAGGACAGCCCCACGGAUCAGUAAGGAGAGACCGGCACCUCAUCAGGGGGCCGCCUGUGCUGCACACGGGGCGUGGGAAGUGUGUGGCCACUUCGGAACCCCCCUCCCCCCCCCCACACACACACACACUGGCCAGGAGCCCCCGGUCCCUCUCCCCACAGAGACACACACUCAGAUGCUCGGAGCGGCGCGGUCUUCGCGAGCCAGGCGGGAGAUGAGCCACAAGCCCAGCAACACCACGGGCAGACGGACGGGAGGGUCCGAGCUGUGCAAAUGCGUGCUGGCGCAGAGCUCAGUGACAGCUCGUGCAGGCAGGGCCAGGUGCCAGGACGGUGGCCCUGGGCACACCACUGGGCUCCGCGGUGGGUCCCGUGUGUGACCUUACUGGGGGGAGAAAGCGUAGCUCAGAGCCGCCUCUGACGUGGAGGUGGGCUCAGCCCGAUGCCCUGGGACGGAGCUCAGCUCCACGAGAGGGGGCAGCAAGCCCGAGGCCCCAGGUGCACCUCCCCUUGCCCGAGUCGCUUGUGUCCCUGGCAGUGGGCCACCCGGGGCCGCAUCUCCCACGUCCUUCUGUGGGCGAGCACCAGCGAGAACUGUCCAUCACAUCACAAAGAACUCCGUCUGGUGCACCUGUCCCGGCGGGAGGUCCCAGGUGGGUGGUCUGUCAGCCCCGAGGGUCUCAUGAGUCCAAGCCCUGGGGCAGGAAAUGUCCCAAAGCUCCCUUGGCAGGCGCGGCUCAGGGCCUUUAUCUGUGCUGUGCCAACUACUCACAGGGAAAGAAGACAACCAUCUAUAGCAACAGCAAUGAUGCCCGUUCUGUGGGCCCCAGAGAGGCCGAGUGGAUGCCAGAUGUCACACAGCACAGCGGGGGGCUGGGACAGCAGGCAGCUCCGAGAGUCCACAGACCCCGGGCGGGGGGUGGAGACUGGAGCUGCCCUUCUGGGGACCCGAGCCCACUGCCCACCCACACCUCGCCCAGGCCCUGAAGGCGGAGCCCUGGACACAGGGCCAUGGGCCACCCUCAGUAGCUGGCACGGGCUCUCCCAGGAAAGGGCAGCUGUGUGCACACCCGGCCUGGAAAGGGACUCUGCCGAGCGUCCUGUGGUCGCCGCCCCCCACCCCAACACCGGGCGGUGGUGUCCGGACAAGCUGUGCAACGGUAGGGGUCACGUGACCCCCAAGGAAGGUGAGCUCCUUUGCUGACCAGUUUCUCUAAGAAUUCAACAGUCCGUCACCGAGCAUCACCGUGCCAGGCACCGCGGCCGUCCCUGGACACAUAAAGUGGGGGCCAGUGGGUCCCCACAUCCCAGGCUCCAUCUGGUGUAGGAGGCAAGGUCUCCAGGCCUCAAGGAAGAAGCCCUUGUUCAUUUGCUGUCCCUUCUUUGGAAGAGUGACCCCUCCAAAGUGACAAACUGCCCAGGUCACCCCAGGUGGCCCUGCACAGGGGCCACCGUCUUGGAGACUGCUUUCCCACGGCAGCUGAACCCCCAAGCCCACGGUGGCAGCACCCUGCUUCUGCGAGCUCACCCCUCCUGAGGCUCCUGAGACGUUGUGGGGACGGCCAAGGCUGGCCACCACGGCCUGUGGCUAUUGUUCAUGGGAGCCUGUGGUGACCCCCGCUGUCCCCAAGUCCCGUGGGGGUGGUCACUGGGUCAUCCUAGAGUCCUCGUGACCAGACCAGCAUCCUCUCUGAGGACGGGACCCCCACUCAGGGCCAUGCUAGGGCCUGGGUGACUGUUUUCGGGAGGGAGGCAGCUUGAAAGGCCGCCAAGCAUCGGGGUCUCACACAAUGUAGUCAGUGGGGGUGAAGACCCCAGCUUGGGGGCUGUCACAGCGACCCAGUGCCACGCUGUGACCGUGUGUGGGCAUGUGGCCCUGUGGACGUGGCUGCCGUGAAUCCUGCCACCACACGGGCCUCCCUGCCUCCUUCACCCAACCUCGCAUCUGGACAAAAACGUCUGCAUUUUGACUUUUCUUCCCCUUUCUGAAAAAUGGAUUCUGUUUAAUUGUGGCAAAAUACACAGAAUAAUAAAUUGGCCAUUUUAACCAUA